AUUGAACGCUGGCGGCAUGCUUUACACAUGCAAGUCGAACGGCAGCGCGGGCUUCGGCUUGGCGGCGAGUGGCGAACGGGUGAGUAAUACAUCGGAACGUGCCCAGCAGUGGGGGAUAGCUCGGCGAAAGCCGGAUUAAUACCGCAUACGACCUGAGGGUGAAAGCGGGGGAUCUUCGGACCUCGCGCUAUUGGAGUGGCCGAUGGCAGAUUAGCUAGUUGGUGGGGUAAAGGCCUACCAAGGCGACGAUCUGUAGCUGGUCUGAGAGGACGACCAGCCACCCUGGGACUGAGACACGGCCCAGACUCCUACGGGAGGCGGCAGUGGGGAAUUUUGGACAAUGGGCGAAAGCCUGAUCCAGCAAUGCCGCGUGUGUGAUGAAGGCCUUCGGGUUGUAAAGCACUUUUGGCGGGAACGAAAAGGACUGUGCCAAUACCACGGUUCGAUGACGGUACCCGCAGAAUAAGCACCGGCUAACUACGUG
rnacentral:rRNA from 1 species